UUCGCUGUUUUUGUGACGUAAGUGCUUUAGUAGUCCACAAGAUAGGCAGUGAGAACUACCCCACAUUGCCCCAUCAAUGUAGCUCAGUCCUGACCUGGAGGGACCAGAUUUAAGUAUGAGGGACAUUCAUUCCCUAUGACCACUUAAUGUUUGACCUCA
rnacentral:sRNA from 1 species